UGCAGCGUGGCGUAGUGGUUAGUGCUUUUGUUUUUGAAUUUUCAAUCCCGGGUUCGACCCCCCGGCAUGUGCAA